CCUACGGGAGGCAGCAGUGGGGGAUAUUGCACAAUGGGGGAAACCCUGAUGCAGCGACGCCGCGUGUGGGAAGACGGUCCUCUGGAUUGUAAACCACUGUCCCCAGGGACGAAGAUGACGGUACCUGGGGAGGAAGCUCCGGCUAACUACGUGCCAGCAGCCGCGGUAAUACGUAGGGAGCGAGCGUUGUCCGGAAUGACUGGGUGUAACGGGAGCGUAGGCGGGACUGCAAGUUGGGUGUCAAAUCUACCGGCUCAACCGGUAGCCGCACUCAAAACUGCAGUUCUUGAGUGAAGUAGAGGCAGGCGGAAUUCCUAGUGUAGCGGUGAAAUGCGUAGAUAUUAGGAGGAACACCAGUGGCGAAGGCGGCCUGCUGGGCUUUUACUGACGCUGAGGCUCGAAAGUGUGGGGAGCAAACAGGAUUAGAUACACGUGUAGUC
rnacentral:rRNA from 1 species